rnacentral:lncRNA from 1 species
AUCAGAAUAAGACACCUAUGUCAUGUUUUCAAUAUUGAACAACGAAAGCAAUGUUAAUUCUAAGCUAAAUCGAUACGAUCAGUUCUCGCUUCUAAUUACAUGCCCAUAACAAUAAUUGUCAACAAUUAAUUCUCUAAAUCCGCAGGAAAAGAAGAGACCAAAUAAUGAGCUCAACAACCUAGUAAGUAGCGAAUAUCUUAACUAGAUAAUAAAUUAUAUAAAUAUUCUUAUUGAUAAUAAGCAUAUAAACAAAAUCAUUAUAUUUUAAUAAACAAAUCCAAAAUAUU